UACAGAGGUCUCAAGCGUUGUUCGGAAUCACUGGGCGUAAAGGGUGCGUAGGCCGCACGGUAAGUCAGAGGUGAAAAUCCCGGAGCUCAACUCCGGAAUGGCCUCCGAUACUGCCGUGCUCGAGGACUGGAGAGGAGUCUGGAAUUCACAGUGGAGACAGUGAAAUGCGUAGAUAUUGUGAGGAACACUAGUGGCGAAGGCGAGACUCGUGGACAGUUCCUGACGCUGAGGCACGAAGGCCAGGGGAGGCAAACGGG
rnacentral:rRNA from 1 species